CACUCCCCCUCCGGNGAAUCCCCGAGAAGGCGGGCGCCGGCUUCGGCCCCGGGAUAGACCUGCGGCGGCGGCGGGAACGGCCACGCACAGAUCAUUUCAGNGCCACCUCAGGCUACCAGCAAUGUAUGACCUGCCCUUUUCUGUAAUGGAGAAGCACCAAGGAGAUGUUUCUUCUACCUCUUCCAGAUAUAGCUUGAGAUGAACCAUCCAAUCUCCUGCCUCGAGUAUUGAAGCCUGGCUACUGUGACUGUGGGGAAGGGAUUAAUGGUCUCAGCAUUCAGUCACAUUUCAAAGGCCAGAUCUUUCCCAGGGCUUAAGCUGUUCCUUGGAUACUUUUGCUGAUGGUUUACACAUCUUCUUCCCACAUUAUAUUGUAACUUUCUU
rnacentral:antisense_RNA from 1 species